ACGCUCACCUGUGCAUCACUGCUCAUUAGUCUCACCCGUCACACCUGGUGUCCUGGUUAUAUAUCUCUCUCCCUCUUGGUUGUUCCUCUGUUUGAUGGUCACCGUUUGACCUGUGAUGUGUGACAGGACAUGUCUGUCCUGGAGGUGGCGCUCUCAUCUCGUGUUCCUCCCUCUCAGUCUUCUGCUCUACCUGUUCUGGCAUUGACAUCGAUGCAGCUCAGAUGUCGUGGUGUUCGUCCUGUCAUCUGUCCUGUGUGUCGCUGUGGUGACCUGGUGUAACAGCAGCCGCCAACCUGCACAUGGAGAAGGGAGGAGAAGGAGGAGGAGGAGGAGGAGGAGGAGGAGGACGGGGGCUGGAGGAGAGUGAUUGAUGAGCCAAAC